rnacentral:rRNA from 1 species
GUGAGGAAUAUUGGUCAAUGGACGAGAGUCUGAACCAGCCAAGUCGCGUGAAGGAAGACGGUUCUAUGAAUUGUAAACUUCUUUUGUGCAGGAAUAAAGUGGGUUACGUGUAACCUUUCGUAUGUACUGUACGAAUAAGGAUCGGCUAACUCCGUGCCAGCAGCCGCGGUAAUACGGAGGAUCCGAGCGUUAUCCGGAUUUAUUGGGUUUAAAGGGUGCGUAGGUGGAUUGAUAAGUCAGCGGUGAAAGUUUGCAGCUUAACUGUAAAAUUGCCGUUGAAACUGUCGGUCUUGAGUGCAAAUGAGGUAGGCGGAAUGUGUUGUGUAGCGGUGAAAUGCUUAGAUAUAACACAGAACUCCGAUUGCGAAGGCAGCUUACUGGGAUGCAACUGACACUGAUGCACGAAAGCGUGGGUAUCAAACAGGAUUAGAUACCCCAGUAGUCC